GGAGCCCCUCCCUCUAAAAGCACUCUGUGUGGGGAAGAUGAGAGCCAGAGCAAAGCUCAGAGGAACCAACCUGGAUCUGGACCUGGAUCUGGAUCCAGCUGUGUGUCUAACAGGAGUGACAGAUCAAAUAAUUUACCUCCUCACUUCAAAGACAUGGAUUCAGGGGUAGAACAGUUCCAACAGAGAUCCGGAUCUGGAUCUGGAUCCAGCUGUGUGUCCAAAAGGAGUGACGACUCAAAGCAUCAUAAUCCAAACUUCAAGUCCAUCAGUUCAGCAGUGGAACAGUAAGUGUUUGUCAGAGUUAAAGGAGUCUGGAUAAUAGUUCAGAUGAUCAAUAGUUUUCAGAUGAAUGACUUGAGUUCUGGUUCAGUUCUUGAUCUCUGUGAUCAGACUCUCUUGGAUCAUCAUGUGUGAUCAGAUCUUUUCA